rnacentral:snRNA from 1 species
UUCCUGCCGCAGUGGCAGUAUCAUAGUCUAUGAAGUUUCUACUGAGACGUGAUUAUUGCUAGUUGAAAACUUUAACCCAUACCCCGCCUGGUUGAUUUGCAAUAUAAUCAGCUGUGGCAAUUUUUGAUGGUCUCCUUAGAGA